rnacentral:rRNA from 1 species
AAGGGAGCGCAGGUGGGGAAGUAAGUCUUUCUUAAAAGUUCGGGGCUCAGCCCCGUGAUGGGAAAGAAACUACAACUCUUGAGUGCCGGAGAGGAAAGCGGAAUUCCCAGUGUAGCGGUGAAAUGCGUAGAUAUUGGGAGGAACACCAGUGGCGAAGGCGGCUUUCUGGACGGCAACUGACACUGAGGCUCGAAAGCCAGGGUAGCGAACGGGAAUUAGAUACCCCGGUAGUCCUGGCCGUAAAC